rnacentral:misc_RNA from 1 species
GUGAAUCAUCGAAUCUUUGAACGCAAAUUACACUCCCUGGUAUUCCGGGGAGUAUGCCUGUUUGAGGGUCGUUAGAACAAAAAUCGAAGCGUCGCUCUUUUUUUUUAAGGGGGAUUGCGUUGGAAUUGAGCCGUUUUUCAAAUGUUAAAUUCUGUCAAAGUGGCCUGAAAUUUAUCCAACCGGUACGGUUAAAGCGUUUUUAAGAUUAAAUUUGAUUAA